rnacentral:rRNA from 1 species
AGUCAACAUGCCCAAAGGACGUGGAUAACCUCGGGAAACUGAGGAUAAACCGCGAUAGGUCAUAAGUACUGGAAUGUUUUAUGGCUCAAAUCUACAUGGCCUCUGGAUUGGACUGCGGCCGAUCAGGCUGUUGGUGAGGUAAUGGCCCACCAAACCUGUUACCGGUACGGGCUCUGAGAGGAGGAGCCCGGAGAUGGGCACUGAGACAAGGGCCCAGGCCCUAUGGGGCGCAGCAGGCGCGAAACCCCUGCAAUAGGCGAAAGCUUGACAGGGUUACUCUGAGUGAUUCCCGCUAAGGGAAUCUUUUGGCAUCUCUAAAAACGAUGCAGAAUAAGGGGUGGGCAAGUCUGGUGUCAGCCGCCGCGGUAAUACCAGCACCCCGAGUGGUCGGGACGAUUAUUGGGCCUAAAGCAUCCGUAGCCGGUCUUGCAAGUCUUCCGUUAAAUCCACCUGCUUAACAGAUGGGCUGCGGAAGAUACUACAAGACUAGGAGGCGGGAGAGGCAAGCGGUACUCAGUGGGUAGGGGUAAAAUCCUCUGAUCCAUUGAAGACCACCAGUGGCGAAGGCGGCUUGCCAGAACGCGCUCGACGGUGAGGGAUGAAAGCUGGGGGAGCAAACCGGAUUAGAUACCCGGGUAGUCCCAGCUGUAAACGAUGCAGACUCGGUGAUGGGCCGGCUUCAUGCCGGCUCAGUGCCGCAGGGAAGCCGUUAAGUCUGCCGCCUGGGGAGUACGGUCGCAAGACUGAAACUUAA